rnacentral:rRNA from 1 species
GAUGAACGCUGGCGGCGUGCCUAAUACAUGCAAGUCGAGCGAACAGACGAGGCGCUUGCUCCUCUUCCGUUAGCGGCGGACGGGUGAGUAACACGUGGAUAACCUACCUAUAAGACUGGGAUAACUUCGGGAAACCGGAGCUAAUACCGGAUAAUAUAUUGAACCGCAUGGUUCAAUAGUGAAAGACGGUUUUGCUGUCACUUAUAGAUGGAUCCGCGCCGCAUUAGCUAGUUGGUAAGGUAACGGCUUACCAAGGCAACGAUGCGUAGCCGACCUGAGAGGGUGAUCGGCCACACUGGAACUGAGACACGGUCCAGACUCCUACGGGAGGCAGCAGUAGGGAAUCUUCCGCAAUGGGCGAAAGCCUGACGGAGCAACGCCGCGUGAGUGAUGAAGGUCUUCGGAUCGUAAAACUCUGUUAGUAGGGAAGAACAAAUGUGUAAGUAACUAUGCACGUCUUGACGGUACCUAAUCAGAAAGCCACGGCUAACUACGUG